rnacentral:rRNA from 1 species
UGCCAGCCGCCGCGGUAAUACGGAGGGUCCAAACGUUGUUCGGAAUCACUGGGCAUAAAGGGCACGUAGGCGGUCCGCUAAGUCAGAUGUGAAAUCCCUCGGCUCAACCGGGGAACUGCAUUUGAUACUGGCGGACUAGAGAAUGGUUGGGGUGAGUGGAACUCCUGGUGGAGCGGUGAAAUGCGUAGAUAUCAGGAGGAACACCGGUGGCGAAAGCGACUCACUGGACCAUUUCUGACGCUGAGGUGCGAAAGCUAGGGGAGCGAACGGGAUUAGAUA